rnacentral:rRNA from 1 species
UUGAACGCUGGCGGCAGGCCUAACACAUGCAAGUCGAGCGGAUGAAGGGAGCUUGCUCCUGGAUUCAGCGGCGGACGGGUGAGUAAUGCCUAGGAAUCUGCCUGGUAGUGGGGGAUAACGUCCGGAAACGGGCGCUAAUACCGCAUACGUCCUGAGGGAGAAAGUGGGGGAUCUUCGGACCUCACGCUAUCAGAUGAGCCUAGGUCGGAUUAGCUAGUUGGUGGGGUAAAGGCCUACCAAGGCGACGAUCCGUAACUGGUCUGAGAGGAUGAUCAGUCACACUGGAACUGAGACACGGUCCAGACUCCUACGGGAGGCAGCAGUGGGGAAUAUUGGACAAUGGGCGAAAGCCUGAUCCAGCCAUGCCGCGUGUGUGAAGAAGGUCUUCGGAUUGUAAAGCACUUUAAGUUGGGAGGAAGGGCAGUAAGUUAAUACCUUGCUGUUUUGACGUUACCAACAGAAUAAGCACCGGCUAACUUCAUG